rnacentral:sRNA from 1 species
UGCAACGACCCCAUUUCUCGUUGACUUUUUGACUUCUUCUCACCAAAAUUAAAA